ACUGCUGUGCGGGGGUUUCUUUCCACGUGCGCGGCCGCGCAGCCGCGCACCUUAGAGGGAACAGUGGUGCUCUGUCAGUUCACCAAGCACAGGAGUUCCUUGUCUAUGGGGAUUUGUCAGUCAUCCAGGUCAUGGCUGUCCCAAAGGUGGUUUUUUUCAAGAGGCAACUGGACUUUCUUGAUUUUCAGAAAGUCCAGCUGCCUCUUCAAAAAGCACUUUUGGUGUUUUUGCAUUGCUUUGGAGUGGUCAAGGGACAUGAUUGCUCACUGAUAGUAAGAUCUUAAAAAAGGAGGUAGGGGGGUGGAUCCAAUUUUCUUUAAUUUUCUUUCAUGAUAAUAAAACUUAGUAACAUGGCACCAUGCUUGAAGUUUAUUUAGGUAUCUGUGUCAUGUACUAAUUUUCUUGUGGUCCUGAUAAGCUUGGGAGCCUUGAACCUGGCUUCCUUAUAUAAUUUGUUAAUUUGUCACUUUAGCUCGGCAUUUUGUAGCCCAAAUAUGCCCACCCACUUUCUAGAGACCUUAAAUGAUCUCUUAACUAAAGGGUUUCACUUUAUGAGUAAGAGUUGGCUGCUGAUAGUUAUUAUUGCAUAUUAACUAUUUUAAUUCCUCAAAGUGUUCUGACAUCCUGCCUGAUUUGUAACUCCGGCUUGCAGGUAUUUCUAAUCUAAUGAUUGAUAUUUAGAGCAGCUUUUUGGAAGUAAAUAAGCUUUUUGUAUUUUUGUACAGGUAAUUCUUGACUUACAACAGUUCAUUUAGUAACCAAAGUUACAAUGGCACUGAAAAAAGUGACUUAUGACCGUUUUUCACACUUACGACUGUUGCAGCAUCUCCAUGGUCACAAGAGGCGAGGUGAAGCACCCCUCAACGUGUUUGAUGUCGAGUGGCCAUGUCAACCCAAUCACAUGACCACUCAGCCACGCCUACUCAGCUGGUCAUUAGGGCAGAGAACCGGUUGCUAAAUUAUUUGAAUCUCACCACUGGGAGUGUUGCUUGAGGGGAGGGAAGUGAUAAUGACACUUACCUUGGGAUGUCAGAGGAAUGACAAAGGUUACACAUUGCAUCAUUUAUUUGUACAAGUGUCAUGAAGCAGGCUUUAUUGUAUAGCUAGCAUUGUGUGUCUAUCUGAUGCAAGUGUAGUGUCUCCUUUAGAUGACUUCUCCAAUGCUUCCUCAGAGGCCAGCUCGGGGGAGAAGGAGAACAUUGCAUGGAUGAGAUAAAUGACUUACUCCUGUUCUCCGAAACUGUUUAGAUUAAGGUAGAAUUUCCUAACUGCUGCUUUUAAAGAAAAUUUAAAUAAAAAAGAGUCUGUUUUCACUUUAGCUACCUAACGUUUGUCAUUUUAAUUGUGACAAUGCUGGAUUCUCAUGGAAAAUUUGCUUACUGCCAAAGACAUAAAACACUUUAUCCUAGCAGCUAAUAUUUGAAAUCAAGU